GCUGAAAGUUCUUAUUAUUCAGGAGUGCUAUCUUUCAAGAGUACAUCCUUCACAUGUUGGUAUGUCAAUAUACCUGUUUCAGAAAUAUCUGAUAUGAAAGACAGCCUCCAAGAUCACCCACAUGAGCUAGAUAAGCAGGGGUGAAAACAAAGACCUGAACCAAUAGAGACAACACUAUAUGCUCUAGCUAAAGAACGAAUAGAAACUAUUUUGUUACAAGCUGGAAAUUGUCGUGACAGAAGUAAACAAUGUUCAAGACUGCUUGCUCAUGUCCUG